rnacentral:rRNA from 1 species
AGGGAAUCUUCCACAAUGGACGCAAGUCUGAUGGAGCAACGCCGCGUGAGUGAAGAAGGCUUUCGGGUCGUAAAACUCUGUUAUUGAAGAAGAACGUGUGUGACAGUAACUGGUCAUGCAGUGACGGUAUUCAAUCAGAAAGUCACGGCUAACUACGUGCCAGCAGCCGCGGUAAUACGUAGGUGGCAAGCGUUGUCCGGAUUUAUUGGGCGUAAAGCGAGUGCAGGCGGUCUUUUAAGUCUGAUGUGAAAGCCUUCGGCUUAACCGAAGAAGGGCAUCGGAAACUGGGAGACUUGAGUGCAGAAGAGGAGAGUGGAACUCCAUGUGUAGCGGUGAAAUGCGUAGAUAUAUGGAAGAACACCAGUGGCGAAGGCGGCUCUCUGGUCUGUAACUGACGCUGAGGCUCGAAAGCGUGGGUAGCAAACAGGAUUAGAUACCCUGGUAGUUCACGCCGUAAACGAUGAAUACUAAGUGUUGGAGGGUUUCCGCCCUUCAGUGCUGCAGCUAACGCAUUAAGUAUUCCGCCUGGGGAGUACGACCGCAAGGUUGAAAC